CUGAGAGGGUAACGGCCCCCUUGGGACUGAGCCCGGCCCAAACUCCUUCGGGAGGCACCAGUAGGGAAUCUUCCCCAAUGGACGAAAGUCUGAUGGAGCAACCCCGCGUGAGUGAAGAAGGGUUUCGGCUCGUAAAACUCUGUUGUUAAAGAAGAACAUAUCUGAGAGUAACUGUUCAGGUAUUGACGGUAUUUAACCAGAAAGCCACGGCUAACUACGUGCCAGCAGCCGCGGUAAUACGUAGGUGGCAAGCGUUGUCCGGAUUUAUUGGGCGUAAAGCGAGCGCAGGCGGUUUUUUAAGUCUGAUGUGAAAGCCUUCGGCUCAACCGAAGAAGUGCAUCGGAAACUGGGAAACUUGAGUGCAGAAGAGGACAGUGGAACUCCAUGUGUAGCGGUGAAAUGCGUAGAUAUAUGGAAGAACACCAGUGGCGAAGGCGGCUGUCUGGUCUGUAACUGACGCUGAGGCUCGAAAGUAUGGGUAGCAAACAGGAUUAGAUACCCUGGUAGUCCAUACCGUAAACGAUGAAUGCUAAGUGUUGGAGGGUUUCCGCCCUUCAGUGCUGCAGCUAACGCAUUAAGCAUUCCGCCUGGGGAGUACGGCCGCAAGGCUGAAACUCAAAGGAAUUGACGGGGGCCCGCACAAGCGGUGGAGCAUGUGGUUUAAUUCGAAGCUACGCGAAGAACCUUACCAGGUCUUGACAUACUAUGCAAAUCUAAGAGAUUAGACGUUCCCUUCGGGGACAUGGAUACAGGUGGUGCAUGGUUGUCGUCAGCUCGUGUCGUGAGAUGUUGGGUUAAGUCCCGCAACGAGCGCAACCCUUAUUAUCAGUUGCCAGCAUUAAGUUGGGCACUCUGGUGAGACUGCCGGUGACAAACCGGAGGAAGGUGGGGAUGACGUCAAAUCAUCAUGCCCCUUAUGACCUGGGCUACACACGUGCUACAAUGGAUGGUACAACGAGUUGCGAACUCGCGAGAGUAAGCUAAUCUCUUAAAGCCAUUCUCAGUUCGGAUUGUAGGCUGCAACUCGCCUACAUGAAGUCGGAAUCGCUAGUAAUCGCGGAUCAGCAUGCCGCGGUGAAUACGUUCCCGGGCCUUGUACACACCGCCCGUCACACCAUGAGAGUUUGUAACACCCAAAGUCGGUGGGGUAACCUUUAGGAACCACCCGCUAAGUGGACGAU
rnacentral:rRNA from 1 species